CUCUCCAGGCCCCCACUUGCUUUAAUGCUGUGGGGUCGCCAUCUUCCAACUCUUGAUACCUUUUGGAAAAGAGGCCCCUGUUUUGCUUUUGCACAGAACCCCGCAGAUCACGUGGCUGGCCCUGCCUGUGUCCAGAACGAGGAGCUCUGGCUCGAGGCAGUCACUCAGCUCCUGACUCUGCAGCUGCAUCAGUCUCCGCCCCUGGGCUGAUCUGAGCCUGGAUGACCAUCGAGGCAGUGUGGCCAGUUCACUUGUCUGCCUCUCCCACUGCAUGGUGGGCUUCCUGGAGGCUCACUCACAGUGCCUGGCACACAUUUUGCCCCCAGUCUUCAGAUAACAGGUGGCCAAAGAGACCUGAAGCCACUUGCCCAGGAUCACACAGCUACAUGCAGCAAAUCCAGAU